rnacentral:rRNA from 1 species
UACGUAGGGUGCGAGCGUUAAUCGGAAUUACUGGUCGUAAAGCGUGCGCAGGCGGCGCGUUAAGACAGGUGUGAAAGCCCCGAGCUUAACUUGGGAAUUGCGCUUGUGACUGGCGUGCUGGAGUGUGGCAGAGGGAGGUGGAAUUCCACGUGUAGCAGUGAAAUGCGUAGAGAUGUGGAGGAACACCAAUGGCGAAGGCAGCCUCCUGGGCCAGCACUGACGCUCAUGCACGAAAGCGUGGGGAGCAAACAGG